rnacentral:rRNA from 1 species
AUUGAACGCUGGCGGCAGGCCUAACACAUGCAAGUCGAGCGAGCGGCGGACGGUUGAGUAUUUUCUGGGAAACUGCCUGAUGGAGUUUGAUAACUACUGGAAACGGUAUCUAAUACCGCAUACCAUCAUAUUUGCCCAGAUGGGCUUAGCUAGUAGGUGGGGUAACGGCUCACCUAGGCGACGAUCCCUAGCUGGUCUGAGAGGAUGACCAGCCACACUGGAACUGAGACACGGUCCUGACUCCUACGGGAGGCAGGAGUGGGGAAUAUUGCAAAAUGGGAGCAAGCCUGAUGCAGCCAGGCGGCGUGUGUGAAGAAGGCCUUCGGGUUGUAAAGCACUUUCAGCGGGGAGGCGGUAGACGAAGAAGAAGCACCGGCUAACUCCGUGCCAGCAGCCGCGGUAAUUG